ACGUUUGUGCAUUGCAGUAAUCACAUUUCAUUCCAGGGACUCCGGAUCAGGUCCGACACCUAAUAAGCUUUAGGACUACCAACGAGGAGAAUUUUACUAAGAAGAAAUAUGCUGCUAAACCACUGUGGGAGUGAGUGAUCUAGCUAUCUGCUUGCAGAAUAUCUGUGAUGGGGUCCUUAACCAUGGUAUAACUACUAUUCAUCACUGUUUUCUGUUACAGGAAACUCAUCAAAGAGCUGGAACUGGAGGGGAAGGUGACCACAGCACAAAUUGGCAAAAAAUGGGGAAAUCUUAAAAAAAAUAUAAGACAGUGGGGAGGCCACAGCAGCCUCAUAGCCUUUCUACAAAGAGAUGCAUGAGGUUUUGGGUCCAGACCUUCAAUCCAGCCUCCAUGUUUGUUGGCGUCUUAUGAAGAUCCCUCGCAAAUACUCAUGAACAUAAUCGACCCUCCAUCCUCACCGGUGUCCUCUCUGACAAAUUCAGAGGAAAGCACAGAGAACACUUUGGAAGACGCCAGCACAUCGGCCUCAAGCUCUGCCUCACCAGCUGGAAGAGGAAGCUGGAAGCUUCAGGCAUCAGGUCCACUUUCCCCCCGAUCCCCAAAAAAAAGAAAUUCUCUAUGCAGGACUUCCUUCAAGCUGAGGCCGCCAAAGAAGACAGAAGAUGUCAAAAGAAUGAAGAACACAUGGACAGGUUCCUGAACCUUUUAGAGAAAAUGGUGGACCAGACACCUCAUCAGCAGUAGCAGCACAUACACUGCAAUGUUUUUUUUGUACAUAUUUCUGUGCAAAUUUUUUUAUAUGGAACAGCACCUUUCUUUGUUCUGCGUGCAAUGUUUACUUUUUUUCUUUUUAAAAAUGUUAUUUGAAUAUAGCAAAUAAAGCCUUUUUU